rfam:Otolemur garnettii contig058421, whole genome shotgun sequence.
GCUGGAUGUAGUGGUGUGUGCCUGUAGUCCGAGCUACUCAGGAGGCUGAGACAGGAGGAUAGCUUGAGUCCAAGAGUUCUGGGCUAUAGUGCACUAUGCCCCAUUAGGUGACUGCACUAAAUUCAGCAUCACUAUGGUGACCUUGGGGAGGGGGCACCUGGUUGCUUAAGGACAGGUGAACUGAUCCAUGCUGGAAACGGAGCAUGUCAAAACCCUCAUGCUGAUCAGUAGUGGGGACAUGCCUGUGAAGAGCCACUGCACUGUAGCCUGGGCAACACAGCAAGACCCUGUCUCUA